rnacentral:tRNA from 1 species
UGGCUCAGCAGUAAAGAAUCUGCUUGCAAUGCAGGAGACCCAGGUUCGAUUCCUGG